AUUGAACGCUGGCGGCAGGCCUAGCACAUGCAAGUCGAACGGUAACAGGAAGCAGCUUGCUGCUUUGCUGACGAGUGGCGGACGGGGGAGUAAUGUCUGGGAAACUGCCCGAUGGAGGGGGAUAACUACUGGAAACGGUAGCUAAUACCGCAUAACGUCGCAAGACCAAAGAGGGGGACCUUAGGGCCUCUUGCCAUCGGAUGUGCCCAGAUGGGAUUAGCUAGUAGGUGGGGUAACGGCUCACCUAGGCGACGAUCCCUAGCUGGUCUGAGAGGAUGACCAGCCACACUGGAACUGAGACACGGUCCAGACUCCUACGGGAGGCAGCAGUGGGGAAUAUUGCACAAAGGGCGCAAGCCUGAUGCAGCCAUGCCGCGUGUAUGAAGAAGGCCUUCGGGUUGUAAAGUACUUUCAGCGGGGAGGAAGGGAGUAAAGUUAAUACCUUUGCUCAUUGACGUUACCCGCAGAAGAAGCACCGGCUAACUCCGUG
rnacentral:rRNA from 1 species